UACGUAGGUGGCAAGCGUUGUCCGGAUUUAUUGGGUUUAAAGGGUGCGUAGGCGGCUUUGUAAGUCAGUGGUGAAAUAUGGCAGCUCAACUGUCAGGGUGCCAUUGAUACUGCGGAGCUUGAGUACAGAUGAGGUAGGCGGAAUUGACGGUGUAGCGGUGAAAUGCUUAGAUAUCGUCAAGAACACCGAUAGCGAAGGCAGCUUACUGGGCUGUAACUGACGCUGAGGCACGAAAGUGUGGGGAUCAAACAGG
rnacentral:rRNA from 2 species